GACGAACGCUGGCGGCGUGCCUAAUACAUGCAAGUUGAGCGCUGAAGGUUGGUACUUGUACCAACUGGAUGAGCAGCGAACGGGUGAGUAACGCGUGGGGAAUCUGCCUUUGAGCGGGCGACAACAUUUGGAAACGAAUGCUAAUACCGCAUAAAAACUUUAAACACAAGUUUUAAGUUUGAAAGAUGCAAUUGCAUCACUCAAAGAUGAUCCCGCGUUGUAUUAGCUAGUUGGUGAGGUAAAGGCUCACCAAGGCGAUGAUACAUAGCCGACCUGAGAGGGGGAUCGGCCACAUUGGGACUGAGACACGGCCCAAACUCCUACGGGAGGCAGCAGUAGGGAAUCUUCGGCAAUGGACGAAAGUCUGACCGAGCAACGCCGCGUGAGUGAAGAAGGUUUUCGGAUCGUAAAACUCUGUUGGUAGAGAAGAACGUUGGUGAGAGUGGAAAGCUCAUCAAGUGACGGUAACUACCCAGAAAGGGACGGCUAACUACGUG
rnacentral:rRNA from 1 species